rnacentral:misc_RNA from 1 species
ACUCAGACAUCACUAACAAAAGAAUUUAGGGCCUCUGGCGGGCACUGUCAGCCGAGGCCAACGCCAAGUGGCGGCCCGCCAAAGCAACAAAGGUACGGUAUUCAAGGGUGGGAGAUCUACCCGCGAGGGCAUGAACUCUGUAAUGAUCCUUCCGCAGGUUCACCUACGGAAACCUUGUUACGACUUUUACUUCCUCUAAAUGACCAAGA